CUGGAAAUAACUGAAAAAACUACCUCAAGCUAGUCCUAAAAGGAACAAUCACUUCGAUGAGGAUUAUCUGGAAUAUCUGUGAAAAUGCAGAUUCCUGUGCUCUAUCCCAUACCCAUUGAAUCCUAAUCUCCACUGGAAUGGUCCAAGAACCUCCACAUCUCAUGAACAAUCCAGAUGAUUCUCACAUAUUUGAAUAUGGAAAACUACUAACUGAGGGCAACUAUUCAACUUGUAUUCAUAUAAAAAGGCAAUGUCACACUAAAGGCAUUUCUUCUAACGUAAA